rnacentral:tRNA from 1 species
GGAUGAGUUGUAUUCAGUUACGUUGAAUAAUACCUAUUGGCAUCUUUUGUAAUAUGAUGAUUUAAUUAU